UGGGGGAUAUUGCACAAUGGGGGAAACCCUGAUGCAGCAACGCCGCGUGCGGGAUGACGGCCUUCGGGUUGUAAACCGCUUUCAGCCAUGACGAAGCUUUUGUGACGGUAGUGGCAGAAGAAGCACCGGCUAACUACGUGCCAGCAGCCGCGGUGAUACGUAGGGUGCGAGCGUUGUCCGGAAUUAUUGGGCGUAAAGAGCUUGUAGGCGGUUUGUCGCGUCGAAAGUGUAAACUCAGUGCUUAACGCUGAGCCUGCUUUCGAUACGGGCUGACUAGAGGAAGGUAGGGGAGAAUGGAAUUCCCGGUGGAGCGGUGGAAUGCGCAGAUAUCGGGAGGAACACCAGUGGCGAAGGCGGUUCUCUGGACCUUUCCUGACGCUGAGAAGCGAAAGCGUGGGUAGCAAACAGG
rnacentral:rRNA from 1 species